UGAUUGUACUAAAACACACACAAAAACCAAAACUGUUCCAUUGUACCAGAACGUUGGUAUUUCAAUAGUUGGUAAUAUUAUGACAUCUAUAUUUAUUUAUUCAUUUAAUUGUCAACGAUACCUCUCCUGUUUACACAUAUGGAGAGCAUCCACAAUCGGAGAAAAAGGUCUUCAGACCAAGAAGUAAGGGUCCCAUAGUUGAGUACUGACGCGGGCCAACUGGGAAAAAUCUGGAUUUUUCGAUAGAAUUAUUCGUCACUGCAGACGUUGUUGUUCAUUUAAUAUUAUGUAGUUUAAAUACAUUUUUUUACGUAUUCAU